rnacentral:lncRNA from 1 species
AGAGGAAAAGGAGUUUGGUUGGCUUUCAUGUAUUAAGAGAAUUAGUUUUGAUGAGUUUCUGGAUAAGGGUGGAUGGAUUUUGCAGAUUUGGGUGGUUAAGGAGAUGAAGAGAAUAUGGAGGUAUGAACAAGUAAUGGAUUUUCUGGGAAAUUUGUUGUUGAUGAAGGAGGUAAUUGAAAAAUGGGAUCAUUUAAGUGUUGUUUGAACAAUGGAUAGAAAGAUUGUUGAUGAAUAUCAGGGCUAUGUUUUUUUUAGGGAUGAAGGUGCGACGAAGGUUUAACCAAAUAUGGGAGUUGGAGGAAUUCUUGGAGAGUUAUUGGUUAUAUAUUUGGAGUAAUGAAGGUGAUAUGAAAGUUGAAUGGAAUCUCGUUUUUGGAUUAAUUUUUAAGAGUGUUCUUGAUUUUUUUUUUAAAUGUUUGAAGUUUUUGGUAUUUUGCUUUGGUAUGUGUGCUUGAUUAUGGGUUUGGGCGAUGAAGGUGGGAUGAAUUUCUUGAUGUUCUAGGUAAAGGGUGGAGGGGUUUUGGUUUAGAAAAACAUGAAGAGAAGAAAUUUGAGUGAGGAAAUGAGG